rnacentral:rRNA from 1 species
UACGUAGGGGGCUAGCGUUGUCCGGAAUCAUUGGGCGUAAAGCGCGUGUAGGCGGCCCGGUAAGUCCGCUGUGAAAGUCGGGGGCUCAACCCUCGAAUGCCGGUGGAUACUGUCGGGCUAGAGUACGGAAGAGGCGAGUGGAAUUCCUGGUGUAGCGGUGAAAUGCGCAGAUAUCAGGAGGAACACCAAUUGCGAAGGCAGCUCGCUGGGACGUAACUGACGCUGAGACGCGAAAGCGUGGGGAGCAAACAGG